rnacentral:rRNA from 1 species
GAUCCUACGGGGCGCAGCAGUGAGGAAUAUUGGUCAAUGGGCGCAAGCCUGAACCAGCCAAGUCGCGUGAGGGAUGACGGUCCUAUGGAUUGUAAACCUCUUUUGUCGGGGAGCAAGGCCCGCCACGUGUGGCGGGAAGGAGAGUAACCGAAGAAAAAGCAUCGGCUAAAUCCGUGCCAGCAGCCGCGGGAAUACGGAGGAUGCGAGCGUUAUACGGAUUUAUUGGGUUUAAAGGGAGCGUAGGCGGAAGGGUAAGUCAGCGGUCAAAUGUCGGUGCUCAACACCGGACUGCCG